CUAUAGAGAGAGAGAGUUGCGACACUUCCAUUGGACUCCGUUGUAGCGCCUACUUCCGGGGUAUGGAGCCUCGAAUAGUUCCAAACAACCAUUUUACGGCGUAGGUGACCGUUCAUUUCCAUUGCUGGCCGCCGAGUAACUUCUGAGGGUGAUGUUCAGCACAUGAAGCCCUACAGAUGCCGCCGAUUCAACAAUGCUGAUUAUGAUGGGCGGUGAAUUUAACCUUUGCCUUAUUAGGUCCUCCACAGUCGCCCCAUCAGUCCCUGGCAGUCUGGUCCCUGGAGCAGCUGGCCCUGGCAAAGUUAUUCCUUCACUGUUGACCCCUGACUGACUGGCCCUCAGCACACACAUCCCUGGAUCACCUGCCCCUGGAUCACCUGCCCCUGGAUCACCUGCCCCUGGAUCACCUGCCCCUGAAUCACCUGCCCCUGAAUCACCUGCCCCUGAAUCACCUGCCCCGGGCAAUGUAACCUCUUGAUUGCUCUCUCCGUCUCCUGUGAUGUCCUUUUCAACGCUCUUGAAAUCCACCUCAAUUUCUCCCUCAAUCUCUGUAAUAAUUACAAGGUAAUGUUUCUGUUAUAUGUAUUUUGCCUUUGCAUUUGCAACGACUGUCAUCUCCAAUGUAAUAAAAUGAAUUAAAGCAAAACAUUUCUGUAAUGUGAAUUAAAUCAUCUGCCACAAUCAGAAACCAAUACAAUUUAUAAAUGGAUCUACCGGCAAUUGUUAAUUGGGUAGAAAUGUGUCGAUUAUCUACAUUGUGUGCAAAUCCUCAGAGAA